rnacentral:rRNA from 1 species
CCUACGGGUGGCAGCAGUGGGGGAUAUUGCACAAUGGGGGGAACCCUGAUGCAGCGACGCCGCGUGGGUGAAGGAGUGCUUCGGCAUGUAAAGCCCUAUCGGCAGGGAAGAAGCAAGACGGUACCUGACUAAGAAGCCCCGGCUAACUACGUGCCAGCAGCCGCGGUAAUACGUAGGGGGCGAGCGUUAUCCGGAUUCACUGGGUGUAAAGGGCGUGCAGCCGGGAAGACAAGUCAGAUGUGAAAUCCCGCGGCUCAACCGCGGAACUGCAUUUGAAACUGUUUUUCUUGAGUACCGGAGAGGUCAUCGGAAUUCCUUGUGUAGCGGUGAAAUGCGUAGAUAUCAGGAGGAACACCGGUGGCGAAGGCGGCCUGCUGGACUGCAACUGACGUUGAGGCCCGAAAGCGUGGGGAGCAAACAGGAUUAGAUACCCUAGUAGUC